rnacentral:rRNA from 1 species
AAUCAACGCUGGCGGCGUGCCUCAGACAUGCAAGUCGAACGAUUAAAGCUCUCUUCGGAGAGUGCAUAGAGUGGCGCACGGGUGAGUAACACGUAAGUAAUCUACCCUCGAGUGGGGAAUAACGUCCGGAAACGGGCGCUAAUACCGCAUAAUGCAGCGGCAUCAUAAGAUGACAGUUGUUAAAGAUUUAUCGCUUGAGGAGGAGCUUGCGGCAGAUUAGCUAGUUGGUAAGGUAACGGCUUACCAAGGCUACGAUCUGUAACCGGUCUUAGAGGACGGUCGGUCACACUGACACUGAAUAACGGGUCAGACUCCUACGGGAGGCAGCAGUCGGGAAUUUUGGGCAAUGGGCGAAAGCCUGACCCAGCAACGCCGCGUGAAGGAUGAAGUAUUUCGGUAUGUAAACUUCGAAAGAAUAGGAAGAAUUAAUGACGGUACUAUUUAUAGGGUCCGGCUAACUACGUGCCAGCAGCCGCAGUAAAAC